rnacentral:rRNA from 1 species
UAGGGAAUAUUGGACAAUGGGCGGAAGCCUGAUCCAGCCAUGCCGCGUGCAGGAAGAAGGCGUUAUGCGUUGUAAACUGCUUUUGACCGAGAACAAAAAGGCUAUGCGUAGCAAAUUGAGUGUAUCGGUAGAAUAAGCCACGGCUAACUACGUGCCAGCAGCCGCGGUAAUACGUAGGUGGCGAGCGUUAUCCGGAUUUAUUGGGUUUAAAGGGUGCGUAGGCGGUUAAAUAAGUCAGUGGUGAAAGACUUCAGCUUAACUGAAGCAUUGCCAUUGAUACUGUUUAGCUAGAGUACAGUAGAGGUAGGCGGAAUUUAUGGUGUAGCGGUGAAAUGCAUAGAUACCAUAAAGAACACCGAUUGCGUAGGCAGCUUACUGGACUGUAACUGACGCUGAGGCA